rnacentral:miRNA from 1 species
CAUUUUGGACAUUCUGCUUUCA